ACGAACUUUUGUUUUCUACUAAACCACUAGCUAGCUUCCGCUGCGGCCACCGCCUGCCCAUUUUCACUUCACCUUUGAAAUUGGAAGAGACCUAUCUGCCUCUUCAAAUAACAACUGAAAUCGAAGAAGGCGUCGGAUCCGGUGGAAGUAACCGUCGGAAAGGAACAAGCUGGGGCUGCUUCUUCAAGUAGGCUAAUGAGUUGUACCAGAUCCAGAUCAGGAAGAUUAUUUAUGCCAACAUUGGAAUUUUGGCGCAAUGAAAGAGCAAUAUACAAUGUGGAUAGAACGGUUACUGGGUUUCAGGAAAGCAUACGGCUGGAAGAGCUAAGAAAGGGAAGUGGAUCAGAGCCUCCAAGAAAGAGAUAAGUAAAUCAUGAAGCUCACUUCUUCCAUCAUAAGGAACUUCUUUCUCUCUUCGUUUCUGGCCAAAAUUAUAUGGCCUGAGUUCGCGAUGUUAAAAUGCAUUUGGCAUCAAUGGGCUUGGAAAAUACCAUUGCCCGGGAUAAAAAUUCCCCGAGCCAAGAUCGUGCAAAGACCAUGAUCUUUUUGUGCCAUCAUAUCGAUGAGGCACUAAAAUGCAGUACGUGACGUUGGAAUCCGCACUUGAAUUAUGGGAGAGAUUGAAAGAAAGAUAUGAUCACUUGAGGCUGACUUUGUUGCCAAAGGCACGAAGUGAAUGACAAAGCCUACGAUUUCAGGAUUUUAAAACAAUCCAAAAAUAUAAUUCUGUCAUGUUUAAAAUAACAUCACAGCUACGCCACUAGGGCGAAAAUAUAUGUGAAUUUGAUAUGAUGGAGAAAAUUUUCUCCACUUUUCAUGCCUCUAACAUAGUUUUGCAGCAGCAGUAUCGCGAAAGAAGCUUUUAGAAAUAUUCUGAGCUGAUCACCUGUUUUUUGCUGGCCGAACAAAACAAUGAAUUGCUAUUGAAAAAUCACGAAUCUCGGCCGACAGGUGCAAAUCCAUUUUCAGAGGCAAAUGCAAUACAACCGAAAAAUCCGGUGCGUGGUCGUGGGGAGGUCAGAAAUCAAUAAAUUGAUCGCGAUCAAAGCAAAAUCGCGGACAGGGCCGGACAAACGCAUAUGGUCAUAAUAAUUAUCAAAACAGGCCCCGAUAUGUGUCAAAUCGGCGUUGUAAUGAUAGAAGGUCUUACAGACCUCAACAAAGGCUCAACGCUAGGAGAAACAUAAACAAUGACGAGAAAUGCACCCGGUGUGAAAUCAAAGGCCAUUGGGCCCAUGUUUCUCGCAGAGCGAGGCUCUUGGCUGAACUGUAUCAGGCCUUAAAAAAAAAGGCAAGGAAGAGUUGCUACCGAAACAAACCACGCUGCCUACGAUGAUACAUUUGACGAUGUGAUGAAUAAAAAUAUCACGCACCUGGAUGCCAAUGGUCUGCUUGACAUAGCUGAUUAAAUGAUAAAAUAUUGUUGUCUCUCUUUUGUUAUUUUACUGUUUUAUGCCCUUUUUUUGUAUUACCCCCUAUAAUAUAAGUCUGUUUUGAUUAUGUUAAUAAUACAUGUCUUUUAUUAUUUUUACCUUAUUGCAAAGAUAUGGAUGCCAAAUAUUUU